ensembl:miRNA
AGCAGGGUGCGGCGCAGCUGUCGGGAGGGCGCGUCCCCGUCCCCGUCCCCGCCCGACCGCCUCGCCCAACCCUCU